rnacentral:rRNA from 1 species
UACGUAGGGGGCAAGCGUUGUCCGGAAUCAUUGGGCGUAAAGAGCGUGUAGGCGGUCCGGUAAGUCGGUUGUGAAAGUCAAGGGCUCAACCCUUGAAUGCCGACCGAUACUGCCGGGCUAGAGUCCGGAAGAGGUGAGUGGAAUUCCUGGUGUAGCGGUGAAAUGCGCAGAUAUCAGGAGGAACACCAAUGGCGAAGGCAGCUCACUGGGACGGUACUGACGCUGAGACGCGAAAGCGUGGGGAGCAAACAGG